AGAUUUUUAGCUCAACUGGUAGAGCAACUGAUUCUUAAUCAGUGGGUCUAGGGUUCGAAUCUCUAAGGGUGUACAA
rnacentral:tRNA from 1 species